UACGAAGGGGCGAGCGUUGUUCGGAAUUACUGGGCGUAAAGGGCGCGCAGGCGGCUCAGACAGUCGAUGUGAAAGCCCGGGCUUAACCUGGGAACUGCAUUUGAUACUACUGAGCUUGAGUACGGGAGAGGAUAGUGGAAUUCCCAGUGUAGAGGUGGAAAUUCGUAGAUAUUGGGAAGAACACCGGUGGCGAAGGCGGCUAUCUGG
rnacentral:rRNA from 1 species